rnacentral:rRNA from 1 species
UACAGAGGUCCCAAGCGUUGUUCGGAUUUAUUGGGCGUAAAGGGCGCGUAGGCGGUCAGCACAAGUCAGUCGUGAAAUCUCCGGGCUUAACUCGGAAAGGUCAACUGAUACUGUGCGACUAGAGUGCAGAAGGGGUAACUGGAAUUCUCGGUGUAGCGGUGAAAUGCGUAGAUAUCGAGAGGAACACCUGCGGCGAAGGCGGGUUGCUGGGCUGACACUGACGCUGAGGCGCGAAAGCCAGGGGAGCGAACGGG